GAUGAACGCUAGCUACAGGCUUAACACAUGCAAGUCGAGGGGCAUCGGGAAGAAAGCUUGCUCUCUUUGCCGGCGACCGGCGCACGGGUGAGUAACACGUAUCCAACCUGCCCUUUACUCGGGGAUAGCCUUUCGAAAGAAAGAUUAAUACCCGAUAGCAUAAUGAUUCCGCAUGGUUUCAUUAUUAAAGGAUUCCGGUAAAGGAUGGGGAUGCGUUCCAUUAGGUUGUUGGUGGGGUAACGGCCCACCAAGCCUUCGAUGGAUAGGGGUUCUGAGAGGAAGGUCCCCCACAUUGGAACUGAGACACGGUCCAAACUCCUACGGGAGGCAGCAGUGAGGAAUAUUGGUCAAUGGGCGCUAGCCUGAACCAGCCAAGUAGCGUGAAGGAUGAAGGCUCUAUGGGUCGUAAACUUCUUUUAUAUAAGAAUAAAGUGCAGUAUGUAUACUGUUUUGUAUGUAUUAUAUGAAUAAGGAUCGGCUAACUCCGUGCCAGCAGCCGCGGUAAUACGGAGGAUCCGAGCGUUAUCCGGAUUUAUUGGGUUUAAAGGGAGCGUAGGUGGACUGGUAAGUCAGUUGUGAAAGUUUGCGGCUCAACCGUAAAAUUGCAGUUGAUACUGUCAGUCUUGAGUACAGUAGAGGUGGGCGGAAUUCGUGGUGUAGCGGUGAAAUGCUUAGAUAUCACGAAGAACUCCGAUUGCGAAGGCAGCUCACUGGACUGCAACUGACACUGAUGCUCGAAAGUGUGGGUAUCAAACCAGG
rnacentral:rRNA from 1 species